GAAAAGACCGUUUCGUUCCGUACAAAAGCAGUUUACAACCCGAAGGCCUUCAUCCUGCACGCGGCAUGGCUGGAUCAGGCUUUCGCCCAUUGUCCAAAAUUCCCCACUGCUGCCUCCCGUAGGAGUCUGGGCCGUGUCUCAGUCCCAGUGUGGCUGGUCGUCCUCUCAGACCAGCUACAGAUCGAAGGCUUGGUGAGCCUUUACCUCACCAACUACCUAAUCUGCCAUCGGCCGCUCCAUUCGCGCAAGGUCUUGCGAUCCCCUGCUUUCAUCCGUAGAUCGUAUGCGGUAUUAGCACAGCUUUCGCUGCGUUAUCCCCCACGAUUGGGCACGUUCCGAUGUAUUACUCACCCGUUCGCCACUCGCCGCCAGGAUUGCUCCCGCGCUGCCGUUCGACUUGCAUGUGUAAGGCAUGCCGCCA
rnacentral:rRNA from 1 species